CGUACACCGAAAGGACUUUGCCCCCAAACAAGUAUUCAAUGGUGUGUGGAGUACACUUCCCUGACGGCAGACCAACGCAGGAACACCCAUAUCCCAUAAUAUGGGAUAUGAAUAUAGUAAAGCACCAUCAUGUGGAAGACCACCCACAAAGUGGAGAUGUCUCCAGCCCCCAACAGAGAGACCAUGUGAUGAGCCUCCUGUGACAAAUUCUGAUACCGAAGUAGGGCAUAGCUUGGAGGAUAGUCUGUCUCCACACCAAUGUGAUGUUGGCACUCAGUGGCCAGAGCGUAGUGAUCAUGAUUAUUGUUCGAUGAAGUCAACAAAAGAUGCAAGCACACAAACAGAUCCUACACCAUCACUGUCAGCUCAUGACAUGGAUGAUAAAGUGUCAAAAUUUUACAUUGGACUAGACAUCAUCAGCUUUUGGCAACUUUUGAACACCAUCAU